rnacentral:rRNA from 1 species
UACGAGAGGCGCAAACGUUAUUCGGAAUUACUGGGCUUAAAGAGUUCGUAGGCGGCGCAGAAAGUAGGGUGUGAAAGCCCUCGGCUUAACCGAGGAAUUGCGCUCUAAACUACUGUGCUUGAGGGACCUAGAGGUGAGCGGAACUGAUGGUGGAGCGGUGAAAUGCGUUGAUAUCAUCAGGAACACCGGUGGCGAAGGCGGGUCUCUGGGCCAUAACUGACGCUGAGGAGCGAAAGCGUGGGGAGCGAACAGG